UACGUAGGGGGCAAGCGUUGUCCGGAAUCAUUGGGCGUAAAGAGCGCGUAGGCGGCCCAGUAAGUCCGCUCUGAAAGUCAGGGGCUCAACCUUUGAAAGCCGGUGGAUACUGUGGGGCUAGAGUACGGAAGAGGCGAGUGGAAUUCCUGGUGUAGCGGUGGAAUGCGCAGAUAUCAGGAGGAACACCAAUAGCGAAGGCAGCUCGCUGGGACGUUACUGACACUGAGGCGCGAAAGCGUGGGGAGCGAACAGG
rnacentral:rRNA from 1 species